rfam:Trichobilharzia regenti genome assembly, scaffold: TRE_scaffold0000122
AUCCAGAUGAAGAGUCCCGAAUAGGAUGAAAUCUGCAUCCUGGAU